rnacentral:rRNA from 1 species
CUACGGGAGGCAGCAGUAAGGAAUAUUGGUCAAUGGAGGCAACUCUGAACCAGCCAUGCCGCGUGCAGGAUGACGGCCCUAUGGGUUGUAAACUGCUUUUGUACCAGAGAAAACCCCAGUACGUGUACUGGGUUGAUAGUAUGGUAAGAAUAAGCAUCGGCUAACUUCGUGCCAGCAGCCGCGGUAAGACGAAGGAUGCAAGCGUUAUCCGGAUUCAUUGGGUUUAAAGGGUGCGUAGGCGGACUUGUAAGUCAGUGGUGAAAUCUCUCAGCUUAACUGAGAAACUGCCAUUGAUACUGCAGGUCUAGAGUAUAGAUGACGUUGGCGGAAUAUGACAUGUAGUGGUGAAAUACUUAGAUAUGUCAUAGAACACCGAUUGCGAAGGCAGCUAACGAAACUAUAACUGACGCUGAGGCACGAAAGUGCGGGGAUCAAACAGGAUUAGAUACCCUAGUAGUCC